CGAAUCAUCAAUAUUGAUAUAAAUCACAAACCAACACUUUUUAUGGAUAUAUAAUUAACUAUUGCAUUUCACCAACGAUAUAUUGAGAUGUCCAUAGUAAACCUCAAAUAUAAUAUUUUUAUAUUACUCAAAAUAAGUUAAAUCCAAAACUAGCCAAAAAAAGAUGGUGGAGAUCUGUGCUUUGGUUUAUCGUCGCUCUUUGGUGCUUCGGCAGGUGAAUGUGAUGGUUUAUUCUUGUGUUUGUGUUUGUGUUCAUGUUUGUGCUCUUCUGGUGCUUCUGCAGGAGAUGGUGAUAAUUUUCGAUGAUGCUUAUGCUUGUGCUCGUGCUUAUGCUUUAAUUCUUCAUUAAAUAUUUCUGAAUAUGGUGUAGGUGCAGAAUCAACAACACUAUAGCGAUGUAGCACCUCAUCUUGCUCAUAUAACAUGGUAAUUUCAUUUUGAGCUAGUGAGGGUGUGGCUAAAACCACUAUAGCAAUGAAUAGCAAAAAGAAAUAUGUGGUCGACAUGAUUUUCUCUUGUGUAUGUGGAGAUUUGUGUUUGUGUUAAAG
rnacentral:lncRNA from 1 species